rnacentral:sRNA from 1 species
CGGUUUGAUACACAGACCAGUCCAAAGCAUUCCGUUUUUUGCCCUCAUUUUAAGUAUCCUUAGAUAUCUCUUUUUUGAGUCUUCAUUGAAAGUUAUGCGAUUAUUCUGUAAUCGGACCCUGCAUGCCGAAAGGCUUACAUUUAUAUAGGUAAAAAAUUAUGUCUUCAAAAACGACAGGUAACGUAAAGUGGUUCAACCCUGAAAAAGGUUUUGGUUUUAUCACUCCCAAAGAUGGUAGCAAAGAUGUAUUCGUGCAUUUCUCUGCUAUUCAAAGCAAUGAAUUUAAAACUCUUGAAGAAAAUCAAGAAGUUGAAUUCUCAGUCGAAAACGGUCCGAAAGGCCCUUCCGCUGUUAAUGUAGUAGUACUUUAAGGACACU